AUUGAACGCUGGCGGCAGGCCUAACACAUGCAAGUCGAGCGAGCGGCGGACGGGUGAGUAAUGUCUGGGAAACUGCCUGAUGGAGGGGGAUAACUACUGGAAACGGUAGCUAAUACCGCAUACUAUCAGAUGUGCCCAGAUGGGAUUAGCUGGUAGGUGGGGUAACGGCUCACCUAGGCGACGAUCCCUAGCUGGUCUGAGAGGAUGACCAGCCACACGGGAACUGAGCAACGGUCCAGACUCCGACGGGAGGCAGCAGUGGGGAAUAUUGCACGAUGGGCGCAAGCCUGAUGCAGCCAUGCCGCGUGUGUGAAGAAGGCCUUCGGGUUGUAAAGCACUUUCAGCGGGGAGGCGUUACCCGCAGAAGAAGCACCGGCUAACUCCGUGCCAGCAGCCGCGGUAAUAC
rnacentral:rRNA from 1 species